rnacentral:rRNA from 1 species
UGACUGAGCGGCGGACGGGUGAGUAACGCGUGGGUAACCUACCUCAUACAGGGGGAUAACAGUUGGAAACGGCUGCUAAUACCGCAUAAGCGCACAGAAUCGCAUGAUUCAGUGUGAAAAGCCCUGGCAGUAUAGGAUGGUCCCGCGUCUGAUUAGCUGGUUGGUGAGGUAACGGCUCACCAAGGCGACGAUCAGUAGCCGGCUUGAGAGAGUGAACGGCCACAUUGGGACUGAGACACGGCCCAAACUCCUACGGGAGGCAGCAGUGGGGAAUAUUGCACAAUGGGGGAAACCCUGAUGCAGCGACGCCGCGUGAGUGAAGAAGUAUUUCGGUAUGUAAAGCUCUAUCAGCAGGGAAGAAAACAGACGGUACCUGACUAAGAAGCCCCGGCUAACUACGUGCCAGCAGCCGCGGUAAUACGUAGGGGGCAAGCGUUAUCCGGAAUUACUGGGUGUAAAGGGUGCGUAGGUGGCAUGGUAAGUCAGAAGUGAAAGCCCGGGGCUUAACCCCGGGACUGCUUUUGAAACUGUCAUGCUGGAGUGCAGGAGAGGUAAGCGGAAUUCCUAGUGUAGCGGUGAAAUGCGUAGAUAUUAGGAGGAACACCAGUGGCGAAGGCGGCUUACUGGACUGUCACUGAC